rnacentral:tRNA from 1 species
GCCACCAUAGCUCCAACGGCAGAGCGGCUGAUUUGUAAUCAGUAGGUUCUCGGUUCGAAUCCGAGUGGUGGCU